CCCCCCCCCCCCCCAACAAAGUACAGGACAGGUAAAGGUAAAGCGGUACCCAUCACCAAAAAUGGGAGUUUGGAAGACUUCAUUUCCUUUACUUCUUUUCAGUCCUUUCCUAAUCCCUUCAGCCGUUUCAAACCUAGUCCCUUCGCAAAGUCCCUUCUGCUUCACACGCAAAAGGAGUUUCAACGGAAACGCCCUUGACUUGCCACUGCCAAACGAACACGACUACCUGUGGCCCUCCGCCCUCCUAACAGAGGGUGUGGGUCGCCUCUCCUGCUUCAAGCUGAUCCAACCCUUGAGCUCCCCUUCCACCUCCGCCCUUGUCCGGCAAGUCUCUCAUUGUACUGGGUACUGGGGUCUUCCCCACCCCCGCCUGCUUCUGCUAUGUGCCAUUCAUCCUCAGGGCCCAGCUUAAAAUGCAAGGAAGCUCCUCAACAUUUGAAUGAACAAAUGAGAGUUUAUUUGUUCAUAAACAAUAACAUGGGUUAUUGUUGGAUGUAUGGGCGCCCCUAUUUCAUUCUUUUUAUUUAAUCCUCGAACCACCCUGGAGGGAGAAAAUAUUUCCUCUCUAUUGGUCAUGAAGGAGAUGUAAUUUUGACCACUGUCAAAGUCAGGAAAUGGCAGUGCCUGGUAUGACUCAAAUUCAGAUUUGAGGAGCUUUAAAUGCCAUGCUCCUCCAGUCUUCACCGGUCCCAGAUCCCUGAUAAAGAGGAGGGUUCUCUCUCCUUGAGCCCCCGGCAGUCUCUUCCUCCUUCUCGGGCCUGGGCUCACCUGCCCCAGGAACAGAGGAUAGUCUGGUCUGACUCAUGCUCUCCUCAGCAAAAGAGGGCUGGGUCUGACUAGGCUGGCAGGCCCUAGAAGCAGGAGGCCCUGGCCCAGAUGAGAGGUGCAAGGAGGGGCAUAGAGCAGGAUGGCAGUCAGGGAUUGACUCGGUUGAGGGAAAUCUCUGUAGGGAGGAUGCUCUUCCUCUCUGAGUUGAGACUAGCCUCCUAUAAGUUCCUCACCUCAGCCUUGUCUCAGCUCUGCCUCAAAAGGACCUCUGUCCUUCACUGGGGAACUGAUGGCAAGGAAGAGAAUCCUGCCUGGCCUAGUGCCUCUCUACCCUUGCCUUGCUGUGUGACUUUGGAUAUAUGCUUACACUUUUCUGGGCCUCAGCUGCCUCAUCUGAAAAGUGAGGAGUGGGUCUAGAGAUCCCCAAGAGUGCCUCUCUGACUCUAUUUGAAGUCAAAUUCUUGUUUCCUCUGAAAUACUUUUCUACUCUUUGGGGAAAGUUUUGUUAUGGUGGGGGAGACCCUCAUCCUGACAGACACUGCUCUCCUCCAAAAACAAUGGUCCCUACCAUCUGAAAUUUGUACUUUGCCAAACUUUUUCACAUCCUGUCAUAUUUUGUCUUCACAUCACUUCUGGAAUAGAAGUUUAUAUUCCCAUAUCACAGAUGGGCAAACUGAUGGAGAGAUGCAGAGACUCAGGUCACCUCAGCAUCCUGAAGCUUGGCCUUGAGGUAGGCUGACUGAGGCCUUUGGAUCAGGAAUCCCCUUGGUGAGGGGUGAGGAGGGUGUUUAAGGAUCUAGGCUGGGCCACCACCCAGUGGCACACUCACCCAGUCAGAGAGUGACUUGGCUGCUUCCAGCACCUCACGAAUCCUCCUAGCCUCAGUACCUUCUGAUUCAUGAUGAGACAAAGUCAUCUUCCAGGUACAGAGGGUGCCUGGGUGUUUUUAGCCCUUCAAAGACUCAUCUAGGAGGUUGCUGGGAACACUGGGCACCAGGGUGGAGAGGGGAACAUUUCUGGGAGUCUAGAACUGGGCCCAAUGCAGGCACCCUCACAAAUGUGCCAGAUGACCCUCAGCAAGUCACUCCCUUCCUCUGGGCCUCAAGCCCCUCACCUAUGAAAGGAGAAUGAAAACAUUAACCCAUCUACCCAUAAGUCAUGGUGCCCAGCAAGAUCGGGGCUAUAAAACCCUUGAAGAAAUCAAGAUAGGAAGGUUGUGAUGGUCACAGUCAUGGCCAGUGAUGGCCCUUGGGUACUUAAGAGGGAGAAAGAUAAGGAGUGAGAGGACCUCAAGAAGAAAUGCCCUCCAGGGGCCACCUGGGUGGCUCAGUUGGUUAAGCGUCUGCCUUAGGCUCAGGCCAUGAUCUCACUGUUCAUGGGUUCGAGCCCCAUAUUGGGCUCUCUGCUGUCGCUGUGGAGCCUGCUUUUGAUCCUCUGUCUCCCUCUCUCUCCUUUCCCCUUCCCCCACUCCCCUGUUCGUCUCUCUCUCUGUGUCUUUUUCAAAAAUAAACAUAAAAAAAGAGAGAGAGAGAGAGAGAGAGAGAGAAAGAAAGAAAAAGAAGAAGCAAUAACCUCCAGGAAGGAACUGUCUUAGGGGGAAUCUGACUCCUGAGUCCAUUCCCAAGUCAAUUAGAAAUGACCUGAGAUUGUCCCCUUUCCUGUAUAGUUAGACCUCAAGUAGACAGUAUUGGAUUAUUUAUAACCUUUAGUUCAUGACACAUUCUCACCACUUCUUUAAUUGGCUCCCACCACAAAACAACUAGGACCUCAAUAAUGUCCUACAUCUCAUCAUAUAGGUUCCCUACCACCCAUUCUCCUGCUGUCAUACCACGCCGAAUAAUAACCAUUACCUUCUGUGUUCAGCAUUCCUUUGCUUUCCUUUUUGUGUAGUUUUGUUGCAUCUGUGUAUUCCUUCAAAGUAUAUAUUUUCAUUUUAGUUGUUACAAAAGGGCAUCUUGCUCUGUGUAAUUUUUUGAGAUUACUUUGUACUUAAUAUUAUACUGCUUAGGUUUAUCCAUAUCGUCACACAUCCAUGUAGUGCAUUCUGGCUGCGUGUAAUAUUCCAUUGUGUGAAUAUAACAUGGUGUAUUAUUCAUCCACUCUCUCAUGGACGGAUAUUUGAGUGUUUGCAGGUGUUUGCUCUUGCAAAUAGUGCUGCUCUGAGCAUUGUGCAUGACUCCAGGUGCACAUGCGCAGGAGAGCUCAGGGUAACAGGCCAUGUGACUACUCGACAUCCAGGAGGCAUUGUCAAGCUAGGACCGAAUAUCUCUCUCUGUGUUUUUAUUUUAUUAUCUGUGUUUCCUUUUACGUGAAAUGCCAGUUUGUGCCUCUUCUAUUGGGUUAUUAUACUUUUUUGUACUUUAUGAAAAUUCUGCUCUAACUUUUCCAUGCUCAAUAGGGUGGCUUAGGGAGGGCUGGUAGUAUUAUCAUUGUUUUAUACGUAAGGAAACAGAAACUUAGAGAAGUUAAUGGGCUUGUUUAGAGUCACAGAGUCAAUAACAGCCCUUUUGCACUGAGCUGAUACCUUCUGAGACCACUGGGCCUCAGCUAAGAAACCUCUGCCCCUUAAGCUGAGUCACAAAACCCCUGGUCCCCAUCAUCUUUCAGCUCCUGACCAUUACAUGAGCUUAUAGUCUCCCCAGUGAGGCCUUAGCCCUUGUUAUGUUCUUCUGAGCUCUCCUCCCAGCUGUAAUGAUCCAGGGUAUAUAUUUAUUUCAUUAUUGCCUUUCUGUUUCAUCAGACGAGAAGCUCGCUCAGGGUAGGGACCCACGGCUCAGCAUGAUGCCUGGCUCAUAGUAGGUGCUCAAUAAAUGUUGUUUACUGGA